rnacentral:rRNA from 1 species
GAUGAACGCUGGCGGCGUGCCUAAUACAUGCAAGUCGAGCGAACGGACGAGAAGCUUGCUUCUCUGAUGUUAGCGGCGGACGGGUGAGUAACACGUGGAUAACCUACCUAUAAGACUGGGAUAACUUCGGGAAACCGGAGCUAAUACCGGAUAAUAUUUUGAACCGCAUGGUUCAAAAGUGAAAGACGGUCUUGCUGUCACUUAUAGAUGGAUCCGUGCUGCAUUAGCUAGUUGGUAAGGUAACGGCUUACCAAGGCAACGAUGCAUAGCCGACCUGAGAGGGUGAUCGGCCACACUGGAACUGAGACACGGUCCAGACUCCUACGGGAGGCAGCAGUAGGGAAUCUUCCGCAAUGGGCGAAAGCCUGACGGAGCAACGCCGCGUGAGUGAUGAAGGUCUUCGGAUCGUAAAACUCUGUUAUUAGGGAAGAACAUAUGUGUAAGUAACUGUGCACAUCUUGACGGUACCUAAUCAGAAAGCCACGGCUAACUACGUG